rnacentral:antisense_RNA from 1 species
UGUGGGAGCGGGCUUGCCCGCGAUGAGGAUGUAAUGUUCAACAGAGAUGUUGAAUGUGAAUCCGCCAUCGCGGGCAAGCCCGCUCCCACA